GACGAACGCUGGCGGCGUGCUUAACACAUGCAAGUCGAACGGAAAGGCCCUGCUUUUGUGGGGUGCUCGAGUGGCGAACGGGUGAGUAACACGUGAGUAACCUGCCCUUGACUUUGGGAUAACUUCAGGAAACUGGGGCUAAUACCGGAUAGGAGCUCCUGCUGCAUGGUGGGGGUUGGAAAGUUUCGGCGGUUGGGGAUGGACUCGCGGCUUAUCAGCUUGUUGGUGGGGUAGUGGCUUACCAAGGCUUUGACGGGUAGCCGGCCUGAGAGGGCGACCGGCCGCAUUGGGACUGAGAUACGGCCCAGACUCCUACGGGAGGCAGCAGUGGGGAAUAUUGCACAGUGGGCGGAAGCCUGAUGCAGCAACGCCGCGUGCGGGAUGACGGCCUUCGGGUUGUAAACCGCUUUCGCCUGUGACGAAGCGUGAGUGACGGUAAUGGGUAAAGAAGCACCGGCUAACUACGUG
rnacentral:rRNA from 1 species